GACGAACCGUGCAAACGUUGUUCGGAAUCACUGGGCUUAAAGGGCGCGUAGGCGGGUUCCCAAGUUGGUGGUGAAAUCUUUCAGCUCAACUGGAAAAGUGCCGCCGAUACUGGGAGUCUUGAGGGAGGUAGGGGUCGAGGGAACUGGUGGUGGAGCGGUGAAAUGCGUAGAUAUCACUAGGAACGCCGGUGGCGAAAGCGCUCGACUGGACCUCUUCUGACGCUGAGGCGCGAAAGCCAGGGGAGCAAACGGG
rnacentral:rRNA from 1 species